rnacentral:sRNA from 1 species
GGCCAGGGGCCCCGCGAGCCCCACAGUUAGGUAGUCAGAGGAGUUAAAGGAAGUCCUUAUGAACCACCUCUGCCCCAUGGAGGUGCGUCCAUGCGGGAUCCUUCUAGAAUUAACCGCAAGAGGGAAAGGGAUGAAGAGAUUGAGUUAGGACAUCAUCCUGAAAAGGGAAGGCAACAUUUUCCAGCUGGGGGAAUCUACUUCCUGGUUCACCAUGACAGAUGGGAAAGGACCAGAGACAGUCCUGUCAGAAUCCACAGUCAGAGGAGUGCACAGAAGUGGAGGGGUAGGCUGACUUGUGCCCUCCAUGUGCUGACAGGGAGAGAUGGGGAGAAGCCAACAUGUCUGCGGCCAGCCCUGGGACAAUUCGACAACUGCUGCCUGCACAUUUCUUGCCUUCUUACUCCUGUCAACCCCUCUGUGCCCUCCCCAAAGAACUCCACUUCCACUUUCAUGUCAUCGGGACAUACAUGGUUCUGUGUGCCUGUCGCAUGUAGGACCCACGUAUGAAAGAAAACGGGUGUUGUGUGGCCUAGGACCCACACCAUCAGAUCCUCAAAAUAAUCAUGCCGGUCAGAUAGGCUAGAUCUAUACUUCCACGGCAUCAGGGAACUGAAGCCCGUGAUGUGAGCCAUCUCUCCACAGACACACAGCAAAUACAAGAACUAAGAUAAGCACUUCAAGGUCAUGCACGCGUCCUCCUGGCAGAGGCAAAUCCGAGCAGCGAGAGGAAGUCAAUAGUGGUUGUAGGUGUUGCUGAAGAAGAGGGUGCAGGCUGUAGCUACUGUUGAGGCUUGGGUAGGGAAGACUCACAGCUGCUUCUUCUGUUACCGUUCAGGACUUUACGCUAAAACAACAGUGUGAGUGUGGGUAGGUGGAGGUCAGAUUUCACUGUCAUUCCUCUGACAUAUACCUGUUUUUGGGGAAUCUCACUGGCCUGGAACUUAUCAAGCAGUGCUCAGAGUAAGUCCAAGGUCUCAAGAGGAUAGAUGUACUCCAUGCCACUUAAUGCUGUCACAGCCGCAAGUCUGAUCUGAUUACAUUCUAAAGAUCGUGUUCCUAGGUCAGACACUGCAGUGCCUC